rnacentral:rRNA from 1 species
GAUGAACGCUGGCGGCGUGCCUAAUACAUGCAAGUCGAGCGAACGGACGAGAAGCUUUCUUCUCUGAUGUUAGCGGCGGACGGGGGAGUAACACGUGGAUAACCUACCUAUAAGACUGGGAUAACUUCGGGAAACCGGAGCUAAUACCGGAUAAUAUUUUGAACCGCAUGGUUCAAAAGUGAAGGACGGUCUUGCUGUCACUUAUAGAUGGAUCCGCGCUGCAUUAGCUAGUUGGUAAGGUAACGGCUUACCAAGGCAACGAUGCAUAGCCGACCUGAGAGGGUGAUCGGCCACACUGGAACUGAGACACGGUCCAGACUCCUACGGGAGGCAGCAGUAGGGAAUCUUCCGCAAUGGGCGAAAGCCUGACGGAGCAACGCCGCGUGAGUGAUGAAGGUCUUCGGAUCGUAAAACUCUGUUAUUAGGGAAGAACAUAUGUGUAAGUAACUGUGCACAUCUUGACGGUACCUAAUCAGAAAGCCACGGCUAACUACGUG